UGAGUAACACGUAUCCAACCUGCCGUCUACUCUUGGACAGCCUUCUGAAAGGAAGAUUAAUACAAGAUGGCAUCAUGAGUUCACAUGUUCACAUGAUUAAAGGUAUUCCGGUAGACGAUGGGGAUGCGUUCCAUUAGAUAGUAGGCGGGGUAACGGCCCACCAGCUCGAUGGAUAGGGGUUCUGAGAGGAAGGUCCCCCACAUUGGAACUGAGACACGGUCCAA
rnacentral:rRNA from 1 species